CCUACUGGUCGCGGACUCGCCGCACGUUUACUUAGCCUCCCUGUGAUGGGGAAGUCGGCUGCAAUCGUGUGGCACCGGAAUGUUUCUGCUAUAUGCCAACCUUAGCAACGUAAUAGUAUUGUGCGCCGUUAACAGGGCUUUGGCCAAAGUCACAAUAGAAAGCAAUUUUGUGAACGCUGAUAAUGGCAGCCUUGUGGAAGGUGAUGCGUAUGUACUCCACCCAUUUAGAGCGGCAAUAUGUGCAACCGCAGACAUUCUUUUCCCAGUUCCCAGCAACAUCAUUAACCUCAUUCAACACUAAGGAAUUGUAGAACUUUUGCAAAUGGAAGACACUGAGCAGAGAUACUGUAUCAAGCAGGUGUUUGGUAGUUCAAUGGGUAAUGCAUCCAACUGCAAGUAAAGAGUUCACAUGUUUGAAUCCUGGAAAAGGGCCGUAGUCAGCCACAGGUUGGAGGAGACAGGGGUCGAAUCCCAAGGCCCGGCCACGAUGCCUCCCCUUUCCUGCAGCUGUGCUGCUCCCUUACAUGGCUCGUAUUAAUUUUAUGUAUUUAUUUAUUUAUUUGCCACAAGUUCUGGA